rnacentral:rRNA from 1 species
UUGCCCUAUGUUGCCAGCGGGUAAUGCCGGGGACUCGUAGGGGACUGCCGGAGUUAAUUCGGAGGAAGGUGGGGACGACGUCAAGUCAUCAUGCCCCUUACGUCCAGGGCUGCACGCAUGCUACAAUGGCCGGUACAAAGGGUUGCCAACCCGCGAGGGGGAGCCAAUCCCAAAAAACCGGUCUCAGUUCGGAUCGCAGUCUGCAACUCGACUGCGUGAAGUCGGAGUCGCUAGUAAUCCCGGAUCAGCACGCCGGGGUGAA